rnacentral:lncRNA from 1 species
CCAGCCAAGGAUCUCCAACAAGCAUGUGCGCCUACUCUCCUUGCCCUUAAUUCCUGCCACAACAGCAGCUCCUGUGUAGUGUGAGCCAGAGAACUACUACACUAAUCAUGUUCCUGGUAUUUUCUCACUCUUGCUUCACAGACGAUGUAUUGUAGUUAGUUCAAAGAAAUUCCAUUACAUAUUUUGCACAUUUCCUGAUUGGUGACCAUCCAUUUUAUAUGAUGUUCUUCACCUGCAAGCGUUGAGUGUUUUUUUCCUUUCAAGUUUUUGUCUCUUGCUCUAUUUCAUGAAAUACAUUCCUCUUCUCAUUCCAUCAUUUAGCCUUGUUGAUUACUUACGAUUAGUGAUUACAUGCAAUCAUCCGCCUUAAAUUAGAAUAGUUAAUUAGUUAUGCCAGGUUGCUACAUUUCUAUCUCCUUUUUGCCAAAAUAAAAUUAAAAUAUGAUGGCAUGUUAUUGACCCAGCCUCGCCGUCCGUUGUGGCAUCACCCUUCUUGUCCACCACCCUAACUCCGUCGCGCUUCAGGCCUAGCAUGUGACAGUGGUGCCGCGAGGAUUUGCUGACGUGGGAGGAGGGGCCCGACCCAGAUGGCGGCCACCAGUAGGUCACACACUUAUUCAGCUCGCCGUUUGGUUACUCUGAUGGCUUCUCUAAGGUAUCUUCUCGUGCAGCUUCACUCUUGCUUGUGUGUCUCGCGUGAAAAAGUAAGCUACCUGGCACUUGCUCUACUCUGCUUUAGCAGGCGCUCGCAGAGGAGGCCAAGGGAUACAUGAUACUGGUAAUUUACUAAUGAUCCAUCUUAGUGGAAUGCUUUUGUUGUAGAUAUUUUCAUUGGUUGUCCUUUCAUUUUAUUUAUAUUCAUGGCUGGAUGGUGCCUUCCACUAUGCUUCUUCACUGAAAAGGUGUUUCGCAUAUGUGUACUUGCUUGAGAAUGGAAUGAUCUCAGAAUUCUGUUGAAAACAAAACUUAGUUAUUUCAGCAUGCAUAGUGUUUGGCUAUAGAGAUUGAGUGCUUCACAUAUCCGAUGCCAUCUCGGAAUAAUCUCAGACCUGUUUAAAUAACUUAGUGUUUGGCUAAGGAGUCCACAUUGAACGCCACAUAUCCGAUGCCAACACACCGAGGUGAGCUUCAGCAAACUCUCUCUCUCUCUCUCUCCAAUCAGACAUGUGAAUAUUUACCAGAGUGCUUCAAGAUCGAUCUGACGAAANNN